rnacentral:rRNA from 1 species
GUAAACCAUAGCGAGCAAACCGUGACGGCGUCGCAAGGCGUCGUCGCGGUUAAUAAGGAUAACCCUGGUAAUUCUGAGGCUAAUACAAGAACGUACAACCCACCCGACCCGCAAGGGAAGGGGGGGGAAUGUGUGACCAGGCACGCAAAUUCGAAACUGGGAGUGGCCACACGUUCAGACCGCCAUACCAAACAGUUGUUCGCUUCGAAAGUCCUCGUGACGAGUAACGGCGGGUUUCUGGGCGGCUCUCGCUGUGUGCUUCUGACCUAUCAACUAGAUGGCAGCGUAACGGACAUGCUAUGGUGACAACGGGUACAGAGGAUAAGGGUUCGAUCCUGGAGAGUGGGCCUGAGAGAUU